GGAUCGAUAGCUCAGUGGUAGAGCGAGAGAUUGCAGUCCUUCUAUUUGCAGAUAUCUCUAGGCCCCGCGUUCGAACCGCGGUCGGUCCU